AUCCUUUUGCAAUUAAUAAGCGUGAUGAUUGGGUUUUCAUGUGCAUGCGUGCAAUGUGCCUCCCACACACAAAUCUUGUUAUGACAUCGGCACAUUACCCAUCUGACA